rnacentral:rRNA from 1 species
AAAACAUAGVUAAAUGUUAUUAUAUUUGGUGUUUCCUGCUCAAUGAGACAUUAAAUAGCCGCAGUACCCUGACUGUGCAAAGGUAGCAUAAUCAAUUGGCUUAUAAUUGAAGUCUGGAAUGAAAGGAUAUACGGGUAAUUACUGUAUCUGAUAUUUGUGGCGAAAUUAGUUUUCAAGUGCAAAUACUUGUAAAUAAUUGUUAGACGAGAAGACCCUAGAAAUUUGUAAUAAUGUUUAGUUGGGGCAACGUAGUAGGAAAUAACCUACAAUAAAAGACAAGAAAUUAAUUUGAAAGAAAAAAUUACUCUAGGGAUAACAGCAUAAUUUAUGAAAGUUUGUGACCUCGAUGUUGGAUUUGGGAAUUAUAGUCCAGAAGAUUUUUGAUGUUGCUCUGUUCGAGCACAACCC